AUUGAACGCUGGCGGCAGGCUUAACACAUGCAAGUCGAGCGGGGGAAGGUAGCUUGCUACUGGACCUAGCGGCGGACGGGUGAGUAAUGCUUAGGAAUCUGCCUAUUAGUGGGGGACAACAUCUCGAAAGGGAUGCUAAUACCGCAUACGUCCUACGGGAGAAAGCAGGGGAUCUUCGGACCUUGCGCUAAUAGAUGAGCCUAAGUCGGAUUAGCUAGUUGGUGGGGUAAAGGCCUACCAAGGCGACGAUCUGUAGCGGGUCUGAGAGGAUGAUCCGCCACACUGGGACUGAGACACGGCCCAGACUCCUACGGGAGGCAGCAGUGGGGAAUAUUGGACAAUGGGGGGAACCCUGAUCCAGCCAUGCCGCGUGUGUGAAGAAGGCCUUAUGGUUGUAAAGCACUUUAAGCGAGGAGGAGGCUACUUUAGUUAAUACCUAGAGAUAGUGGACGUUACUCGCAGAAUAAGCACCGGCUAACUCUGUGCCAGCAGCCGCGGUAAUACAGAGGGUGCGAGCGUUAAUCGGAUUUACUGGGCGUAAAGCGUGCGUAGGCGGCUUAUUAAGUCGGAUGUGAAAUCCCCGAGCUUAACUUGGGAAUUGCAUUCGAUACUGGUGAGCUAGAGUAUGGGAGAGGAUGGUAGAAUUCCAGGUGUAGCGGUGAAAUGCGUAGAGAUCUGGAGGAAUACCGAUGGCGAAAGCAGCCAUCUGGCCUAAUACUGACGC
rnacentral:rRNA from 2 species